rnacentral:rRNA from 1 species
AAAAACAUAGCUAUAAGAAGGUAUUUAUAGUUAAACCUGCCCAAUGUACUAGAUAUAAAUGGCCGCGGUACCCUGACCGUGCUAAGGUAGCGUAAUAAGUUGGCUUUUAAAUGGAGUCAGGUAUGAAUGGAUUAACUGGGUUUAGCUGUCUCAAAAAUGCUAGUUCGAAUUUACUGUUCAAGUGAAAAAGCUUGAUUAAGAUAGGGGGACGAGAAGACCCUUAAAAUUUUAUUUAAGAUAAUUAAUGAUUAUUACAAUUUUGUUGGGGCGACAUAGAAAUAGUAAUAACUUUCUGUAAAAUAUUUGCCGGAUAUUUCAAGAUAAGAUAAAUUACUUAAGGGAUAACAGCAUAAUUCUAAAAUUGAGUUUGUGACCUCGAUGUUGGACUAGGAAGCUAACAGGUUAGAUGCUUGUUGUGGGGAUUCUGUUCGAAUUUUAAUUCCU